AUUAACAAUUGCUAAUUAUUUGCCCCACAACUAUACAAAUAAAAAAAUACAUUAAACAUCAUAUCAGUUUAUUUUAUUAGCAUUUUUAAUGCAACAGUGUACAUUCUAUUAAAACAAAUGUUCAAAGUAUAAUGAUAUUAAAAAUGUUUCCCUUCUCAUUUCUAUACCUAGCACACAAAAUAUUUUUUUGCCAUUUUACAGUAAUGUAUAAUCGGAAUUCAAUAGUUUCAACAAUCUAGCAAAAACAAACAAACAAACAAAUGUAUAUGUAUUGAAUCCCCUGUAUAUUACAGUCAACAGGAGACCCAUCUUAAUAUAGGAUUGCUCCGCUUCCUUCCAUUCACAUGGGUUGACACUUAACUUGCUUUUUUGGGAGUCCACAGUCCUGACACGCUCAACCAAUAUAAUACUAUCCAAUCCUGGUAUGACGUGGCAUGAUAAUGGACAAUUACCAACUUUAUCAGAUUAACUCACUGUGGAAGUACCACAAUCACCCAACACAGGAAGGUAACACUGUAUGUAAGUGGUUUAACAGGUUAGCAUGAGACAGCGCUGGUUUACUCCUGGUACCAUGUCUUGUCAUAAAUUUGCCUGUUUUUAAAUCACUGCAAGUAAACCAGUUUUACACAUUAUACUGGCAGUUUACGAAACUGACUACUUCAUUCCAGGGCCAGACUAAAAACAAAACUCGGACCGGGCAUUUUUGAUUCACAGCGGCCCUCUGAGAAGGGAGCGGGCCAGAGAGCAUGUGUUUUGUCAUCACCAAUGACAAGCAUGCCCCCUCUCAAAGUGAGCAUGUUGGUUCAAUGCGCAGAGCCCCACUGAAGAGCUCUAGCAUGAGAAAAGGGCCCUGUAUUUCUUUGCCCUGCAUUGUGUGUAAAGGGUGCAUUGUGUGUUUGGGGUGCUGUGUGUGUGAGGGGUGCACUGUGUGUUUUGGGUGCUCUUUGGUGUUUGGGGUGCAGUGUGUGUGAGGGUUGUUGUGUGGUGUUUGGGUGCAGUGUCUGUGUAAGGGGUGCUGUGUGGUGUUUGGGGUGCUGUGUGGUGUUUGGGGUGUGGUGUUUGGGGUGCAGUGUGUGUGUGGUGCACUGUGUGUUUGGGUGGCACCGUGGUGUUUGGGUGGCACUGUGGUGUUUGGGUGGCACUGUUUGUUUGGGGUGCUGUGUGGAGUUUGGAGUGCUCUGUGGUGUUCUGUGAUGUUUAGGGUGCAGUAUAUUGUUUGGGGUGUAGUGUGCAUCUGUGAGGGGUGCAGUGUGGUGUUUGGGGUGUAGUGUGUGUGUGUGUGUGUGUGUGAGAGGUGCAGUGUGAUGUUUGGGGUGUAGGGUGAUGUUUGGGGUGUAGUGUGUGUAUGAGGGGUGCAAUGUGUUGUUUGGGGUGUAGUGUAAUGUUUGGGAUGUAGUGUGUGAGGGGUGCAGUGUGGUGUUUGGAGUGUAGUGUGUGUGUGUGUGUGUGUGUGUGUGAGGGUGCAGUAUGGUGUUUGGGGUGUUGUGUGAUGUUUGGGGUGCUAUGGGGUAAAAAUAAAAAACAUAUAUAUAUGUAUGUUUUUUUAAUUAUUAUAUUUAUGUCCCCCCGCCUUCUUACCUUGUUGCCAGCCCUAGUGGUCCGGUAGGAAAUUCCUGGCGGGUCCGGUGAGAAAUGAACUCUAACCUGCAGUUUUUGGGGUAGAGUUCAUUCUCACGAGAUUGGAGCAUUGCCAUAGUAACCUUGUGAGAGUAACCCGGCGGAGCUGAAAGAUAGAGUUCCUCCGGGUCCUCCCUCCCCCGCCAGUGGCCGCAUCUCAGUGCCUAUGGGGAGAUAAUUUGAUUUGAAUCCAACGAUCUAUGUAGAUUUUUCCACUUUUUUUACAAGAAAACCAGUUGAGAACAUUUCCAAAACUACCCCAAGAGUCUCC
rnacentral:lncRNA from 1 species